rnacentral:rRNA from 1 species
GACGAGGGGUGCAAACGUUAUUCGGAAUGAUUGGGCGUAAAGGGUGCGUAGGCGGCUUAUUAAGUCAACUGUUAAAUUUCUCAGCUUAACUGGGAGUGUGCGGUAGAAACUGAUGAGCUAGAGGAUGGAAGAGAGAAGUGGAAUUCUCGGAGUAGCGGUAAAAUGCGUAGAUCUCGAGAGGAACACCGAUGGCGAAGGCAGCUUCUUGGUCCAUUUCUGACGCUGAGGCACGAAAGCGUGGGGAGCAAACAGG